AACGUAGGUAACCUGCCCAUGUGUCCGGGAUAACUGCUGGAAACGGUAGCUAAAACCGGAUAGGUAUACAGAGCGCAUGCUCAGUAUAUUAAAGCGCCCAUCAAGGCGCGAACAUGGAUGGACCUGCGGCGCAUUAGCUAGUUGGUGAGGUAACGGCCCACCAAGGCGAUGAUGCGUAGCCGGCCUGAGAGGGUAAACGGCCACAUUGGGACUGAGACACGGCCCAA
rnacentral:rRNA from 1 species